AGCGAACGUUUGCGGCGGGCCUAACACAUGCAAGUCGAACGCACUAGCAAUAGUGAGUGGCGCACGGGUGCGUAACACGUGGGUAAUCAACCCUUCAGCCUGGGAUAACGACUCGAAAGGGUCGCUAAUACCGGAUACGGCGCGAGAGGCUUCGGCUUCUCACGAGAAAGCCACGCAAGGGGCACUGAAGGACGAGCCUGCGGCCCAUCAGCUAGUUGGUGAGGUAAGAGCUCACCAAGGCUAAGACGGGUAGCUGGUCUGAGAGGAUGAUCAGCCACACUGGAACUGAGACACGGUCCAGACUCCUACGGGAGGCAGCAGUGGGGAAUAUUGCGCAAUGGGCGAAAGCCUGACGCAGCCACGCCGCGUGAGCGAUGAAGGCCUCGGGUCGUAAAGCUCUGUGGGGAGAGACGAAGAAAGACCUGUGAGAGCAGGCCUGACGGUAGUCUCCUUAGCAAGCACCGGCUAACUACCGU
rnacentral:rRNA from 1 species